rnacentral:rRNA from 1 species
CCUACGGGUGGCUGCAGUGGGGGAUAUUGCACAAUGGGGGGAACCCUGAUGCAGCGACGCCGCGUGGGUGAAGAAGCGCCUCGGCGCGUAAAGCCCUGUCAGCAGGGAAGAAAAUGACGGUACCUGAAGAAGAAGCCCCGGCUAACUACGUGCCAGCAGCCGCGGUAAUACGUAGGGGGCAAGCGUUAUCGGGAUUUACUGGGGGUAAAGGGGGCGCGUACGGGGAUGCAAACCAGGAGUGAAAGCCCGGGGCACAACCCCGGGACUGCACUUGGAACUGCGUGGCUGGAGUGCAGGAGGGGCAGGCGGAAUUCCUGGUGUAGCGGUGAAAUGCGUAGAUAUCAGGAGGAACACCGGUGGCGAAGGCGGCCUGCUGGACGGCAACUGACGUUGAGGCGCGAAAGCGUGGGGAGCAAACAGGAUUAGAUACCCGGGUAGUC